ACUUUGAAAGACAAAGACAGUGUAUUUUAAUGAACACUUCCCCUCACUCUUCAGGAAAAGACUGGUACAAGUCCUGAGGCAGAUGGAUCUAUGAGAAGAGUCUCUAUAUGGACUCUGGUUCUUCUCCCUCUCGUAUCACCAGGUUCUGCUGGUCCCCAGAGCCAUGCAUUGAGUUUUCAUUUAUUUUCUAUAUAGUUCUAGUCCGGUUUUAAUAAACAAUAUAUUCUCAGUCUUUCAUUAUAAAUUUGUAUCAGUCUAGAGUAAUUCCCAAGUAUACAAUUUGCUUUGCCAAGGAGGUCUGGCCUCCUUCUGGUCGCUGCAGAAAUAAGACUGACUUAUGUUCUCUGUCUCUCACUUAGCCCCAUGGAAGCAAGACCCCCAUUGGAUGCUGGCUCACCCUUGACUUACGUCGGAGUUUUCUGUCCUGAGUUUUCCAACUUCUGCAUGCAGUUUUCUCGGCCACACCAGCAAGAGGAUCUCACUAUGGCAUGCAGCACUCAAGGCAGGAACCUAUGAAAAGGUGUCUAGUGACCUAAUACCUGAAAGCCCCUGGUGAACAUAGAGGGGCAUAGACGGCUGUCUUCUUUUCCAGCAGCUCACAGCAUACUUGAAAAACAGUUCACAAACCCACACGAAUUUACAAAACAGAAGUUUGCUUAUGGCACAGGACAACAGUGAAGACAAGAUUACAGUGUGUGCAGGCCAUGUGUGGUCUCUAGAUGAGACUGAGGGAUGAUACACGUGCUCUAGGUCAUGGUGAUGAAAAAGACUGUGGAAGAUGCAGAGCUGGAGCUACAGAGUGAAGAGCAGAUUGGGUGGGUACAGACAGGGGAAAGUUGGAAGCACUGCUGGGCUGUGGGAGUGAGAGCACAUCAUGGGAAGGUGGACCCUGGCAUCCAGCACUGACCAGCAGGAGCCAUUCUUUCUCCUGUCAGAGCCUCAGCCCCUGUCCUUAGGAUGAAAAAUUGGAGGCUAACCAUGGGCAAUUCCAGUUCAGCAUGCUACAUUCUUUAAACAGGUGUUUGGAAAAUUGGGGUUUGCAGUGGCUGAAGGCAAAAUAGCAGAGAGACUAAUUCAAAAAAUAAAAAGAGAAGAAGAGUGGUCCUCCUUCACCCUGGAGUUGCAGAGAACAUUCGCAGUCCACUCCAUGGCAGUUGGGAAGAUGCCAACCUAGACUAAUUAUGCUCAAAUAUCUAGCAUAAUGUCAGGAUUCUUACAAUGUAACAAAAACAUUUUUGAAAGAAUUAUUAGGCAAAAAAUUAAAUCGGUAAAUAAGAGUUUUGGUCAGAUCAUGAAUAUUUUCCAAUGCUAAACCAAGAAUCUAAGAUUUUUCAUACUCAAAAUAAUGUCUGGGACAGGCUGGUGGUAGGAAUGUUAGGGGACAUGAUCAGCACAGUGACUCCGGAGAGAGCAUCCUGGAAGUUCACAUUCCACUCGCUUAUAAGUUCUUAGUUUUUAAACAAGGCUCAAGUCUAGUUUUCAGAUAUUCAAUAUUAAGUCAAGAUAAAGAAACUAAAGGGAUAGAAAAAGAUAUACCAGGAAAAUAAUAAUUAAAACAAAGUAGUUUAACAAAAGAAACUUUAAAGCAAAAUGCAAUUGUUAUUGAUAAAAAGAAUUUUUGAACCCAAUAAAAUGACCAGUUUUCAAGAAAGCUAUAGCAAUCCAUAGUCUGUAAAUGCCUUGUUAACAUGGUUUAAAAUACAUAUAAAGGUAGAAUUGCCUGAAUUACAAGGAUACUUUGAGGAACCUAAACAGAUAAAUAACUCUGAUGGGUGAAAAUGUAUAAAGUAGAAAACCAAAAAUAGAGAAAUUUAUGAAAAGCAAAAGUUUAUACUUUAAAAAAGACUAAUAACAUUAACAGACUCUAAAAAGAAAAAGAAAAGAAUUGACAAUGCUAAGACUAAAGUAGAGACUACAGUUGUCCCUUUGUAUCUAUGGAAAAUUGGUUAUACGACACACUACAGAUACUGAAAUCUGAGGAUCCUCAAGUGUCUGAUAUAAGAUGGCAUCGUAUUUGCAUAACCUAUGCACAUCCUCCUGUGCACUUUAAAUCAUCUCUAGAUUGCUUAUGAUACCUAAUACAAUGUAAGUGCUAUGUAAAUAGUCAUUAAAACGUAUUUUUAAAUUUGGGGGAUUUUCAUUUUUGUAUAGUUACUUUUUUUUAAAAUAUUUUCAACCCAUGGCUGGUUAAAUCGAUAGAUGUGAAACCCAAAGAUAAGAAGAGAUAACUGUAUAUAAAUAUGUAGAUAUUUUAAAAUUAUAAAAUAGAUGUCUUAGUUAGGGCUGCUAUAAAAAAUACCUUAGGUUGGCCGGGCACGGUGGCUCACGUCUGUAAUCCCAGCACUUUGG
rnacentral:lncRNA from 1 species